rnacentral:rRNA from 1 species
GGGAGUUUGAUCCUGGCUCAGGACGAACGCUGGCGGCGUGCUUAACACAUGCAAGUCGAACGAUGAAGCCGCUUCGGUGGUGGAUUAGUGGCGAACGGGUGAGUAACACGUGGGUAACCUGCCCCUGGCUUUGGGAUAACUCCGGGAAACCGGGGCUAAUACCGGAUAUUCACUUCCGCGGGCAUCCGUGGUGGUGGAAAGGGUUUCUGGCUGGGGAUGGGCCCGCGGCCUAUCAGCUUGUUGGUGGGGUGAUGGCCUACCAAGGCUUUGACGGGUAGCCGGCCUGAGAGGGCGACCGGCCACACGGGAACUGAGACACGGUCCCGACUCCUACGGGGGGCAGCAGUGAGGAAUAUUGCACAAUGGACGCAAGUCUGAUGCAGCAACGCCGCGUGGAGGAAGACGGUCUUUGGAUUGUAAACUCCUUUUCUCAGGGAAGAGCGAGGACGGUACCUGAGGAAUCAGUCACGGCUAACUACGUGCCAGCAGCCGCGGUAAUACGUAGGUGGCGAGCGUUAUCCGGAAUUACUGGGCGUAAAGCGUCCGCAGGCGGUGCGUUAAGUUUGACGUGAAAGCUCCCGGCUUAACUGGGAGAGGUCGUUGAAGACUGGCGCACUUGAGGCCAGGCGAGGGGUGUAGAAUUCCCGGUGUAGUGGUGGAAUGCGUAGAGAUCGGGAGGAAUACCAGUGGCGCAAGCGGCACCCUAGCCUGGGCCUGACGCUCAGGGACGAAAGCGUGGGGAGCGAACGGGAUUAGAUACCCCGGUAGUCCACGCCGUAAACGAUGAACACUAGGUGUAGGUGGUGUGAAAGCUAUCUGUGCCGAAGCCAACGCGUUAAGUGUUCCGCCUGGGGAGUACGGUCGCAAGGCUAAAACUCAAAGGAAUUGACGGGGACCCGCACAAGCGGUGGAGUAUGUGGUUUAAUUCGUCGCAACGCGAAGAACCUUACCAGGCCUUGACAUCCCGAUUAAGAGGACCAGAGAUGGACCUCGUCAGUUCGGCUGGAUCGGUGACAGGUGCUGCAUGGCUGUCCUCAGCUCGUGUCCUGGAAAGUUUGGGUUAAGUCCCCGCACCGAAGCCCACCCCCUUUUUGCAUUUGCCACCACCUAAAGGGUGGGAAACUCUGACAAAAUUCGCCCGUGAAUAACCCCGGAGAAAAAGCGGGGGAUAAACUGCAAAGCCUCCAGGGGGCCUUUAGGGCCUGGGGGCACACCCUGUUUUAACUAGGGUGGUGGGAACAAUGGGCGCCGCAGGCGGUGGUGGCGACGCCAAAUCUUUCAAAACAGCCUCUCCUCUCAAAAAUGGUGGCCGCUCACCCCCGCCAAGCAAGAAAUGUGGAAAACGCCCUAUAAACC